AUGGCGUUCGGCGAAGGAGGGGGCGAUGCCACGGCUCCUCUCAUUUCCUCCGACGGGCCGAAGCGCCAUCUCAACAUCGUCAGGAACGGGAACGAAUGGACGGCGUCGGCGCACGUGAUCACGGCGGUGAUCGGGUCCGGGGUGCUGUCUCUGGCGUGGAGCAUGGCGCAGCUGGGGUGGGUGGCCGGGCCGGGCAUGAUGGUGGUGUUCGCCUCCGUGACGGCGCUGCAGUCCACCAUCUUCGCCGACUGCUACCGCUCGCCGGACCCGGAGCACGGCCCGCACCGCAACCGCACCUACGCCCACGCCGUCGAGCGCAACUUAGGUAGCAACAGCGCGUGGGUCUGCCAGUUUUUGCAGCAAACAGCCUUGUUCGGCUACGGCAUUGCCUACACCAUCACCGCUUCCAUCAGCUUCAGGGCGAUUCUGAAGGCCAACUGCUACCACGCGCACGGGCACGACGCGCCCUGCAGCUUCGACGGCAGCUACUACAUGCUAAUGUUCGGCGGGGUACAGCUCCUUCUCUCCUCCAUACCGGACUUCCACGACAUGGCGUGGCUCUCCGUCGUCGCCGCGGUCAUGUCUUUCUCCUACGCCUUCAUCGGCCUCGGCCUUGGCCUCGCCAACACCAUCUCUAACGGCGUCAUCAAAGGGAGCAUAACGGGUGUCCCAAUGAAAACCCCUGUCGCCAAGGUAUGGCGCGUCUCACAGGCCAUCGGCGACAUUGCGUUCGCGUACCCGUACUCCUUGAUCCUCCUAGAAAUUCAGGACACCCUCAAGUCGCCACCGGCCGAGAACAAGACGAUGAAGAAGGCGUCCAUCAUCUCCAUCCUGGUCACCACCUUCUUCUACCUCUGCUGCGGCUGCUUCGGGUACGCCGCCUUCGGGAACGACGCGCCGGGGAACCUCCUCACCGGCUUCGGCUUCUACGAGCCCUACUGGCUCAUCGACUUCGCCAACGCCUGCAUCAUCCUCCACCUGCUCGGCGGCUACCAGGUGUACAGCCAGCCGAUCUACCAGUUCGCGGACAGGCACUUCGCGGAGCGGUACCCGGGGAGCGGGUUCGUGAACGACUUCCACACGGUGAAGGUGCCGCUGCUGCCGCCCUACAGGGUAAACCUCCUGCGGGUGUGCUUCCGGACGGCGUACGUGGCGAGCACGACGGCCGUGGCCAUCUUCUUCCCCUACUUCAACGAGAUCCUGGCGCUGCUGGGCGCGCUCAACUUCUGGCCGCUGGCCAUCUACUUCCCCGUGGAGAUGUACUUCAUCCAGCGGAAGGUGCCCCGCUGGUCCACCAGGUGGCUCCUCCUCCAGGGCUUCAGCACCGUCUGCCUGCUCAUCAGCGCCUUCGCGCUCGUCGGCUCCAUCCAGGGGGUCAUCAGCCAGAAGCUAGGCUAG
rnacentral:rRNA from 1 species